UGACGAGUUUGAUCCUGGCUCAGAUUGAACGCUGGCGGAAUGCUUUACACAUGCAAGUCGAACGGUAGAGGGGGCAACCCCUCGAGAGUGGCGAACGGGUGAGUAAUAUAUCGGAACGUGCCCAGUCGUGGGGGAUAACGUAGCGAAAGUUACGCUAAUACCGCAUGAGACCCGAGGGUGAAAGCGGGGGAUCGCAAGACCUCGCGCUAUUGGAGCGGCCGAUAUCAGAUUAGCUAGUU
rnacentral:rRNA from 1 species